rnacentral:rRNA from 1 species
GAUGAACGCUGGCGGCGUGCCUAAUACAUGCAAGUCGAGCGAACAGAUGAGGAUCUUGCUCCUCUGACGUUAUCGGCGGACGGGUUAUUAACACGUGGAUAACCUACCUAUAAGACUGUGAUAACUUCGGGAAACCGGAGCUAAUACCGGAUAAUAUAUUGAACCGCAUGUUUCAAUAGUGAAAGACGGUUUUGCUGUCACUUAUAGAUUGAUCCGCACCGCAUUAGCUAGUUGGUAAGGUAACGGCUUACCAAGGCAACGAUGCGUAGCCGACCUGAGAGGGAGGUCGGACACACUGGUACUGAGGAACGGUACAGACUCCGACGGGAGGAAGCAGUAGAGAAUCUUCCGCGAGGGGCGAAAGGCUGACGGAAGAAAGCCGCGUGAGUGAUGAAGGUCUUCGGAUCGUAAAACUCUGUUAUUAGGAAAGAACAAAUGUGUAAGUAACUAUGAACAUCUUGACGGUACCAAAUCAGAAAGCCACGGCUAACUACGUG